GAUGAACGCUGGCGGUGUGCCUAAUACAUGCAAGUCGAGCGAACAGACGAGGAGCUUACUCCUCUGACGUUAGCGGCGGACGGGUGAGUAACACGUGGAUAACCUACCUAUAAGACUGGGAUAACUUCGGGAAACCGGAGCUAAUACCGGAUAACAUGUUGAACCGCAUGGUUCAACAGUGAAAGACGGUCUUGCUGUCACUUAUAGAUGGAUCCGCGUCGCAUUAGCUAGUUGGUAAGGUAACGGCUUACCAAGGCAACGAUGCGUAGCCGACCUGAGAGGGGGAUGGGCAACCCUGGAACUGGGACCCGGAACUGACUCCUGAGGGAGGCAGCAUUAGGGAGCCUCCCGAAAUGGGCGAAAGCCUGACGGAGCAACGGCGCGGGAGUGAAAAAGGUUUUCGGAUGGUAAACCCUUGUUUUGGGGGAAGAACAAAUGGGAAAGUACCUAGGAACGUUUGAAGGGUACCUAAUAAGAAAGCCACGGUAAACCAGGG
rnacentral:rRNA from 1 species